AAGUCGUAACAAGGUUUCCGUAGGUGAACCUGCGGAAGGAUCAUUAAAGAGUUAGGGUCCUCCGGGGCCCGACCUCCCACCCUUUGUCGUCGCGAAAUUGUUGCUUUGGCGGUGCCCGCCCCUCCUCCUCGCGGGGAGGGCGACCGGGUCCAGGCCCGGGCAGCGCCCGCCAGAGUCCCAAACCCAACUCCUCUGCAAACACUGCGGUCAGAGUAAACGAUUUAAUAAAUCAAAA
rnacentral:misc_RNA from 1 species